UUCAAUAUCAUAUGCAUGACCUACAACACAUAUACAAAACCAUUGUAUGUCGACUGACACAUUGAACCAAAUUAAAAUUGACAAAUUAAUGCCUUCUUGCUAGGACAUGGUAACAACAAAUAAUAGAACACUUUACAAUGCUAUGGAGGAAUUAUAAAACUAAUAUGCAUUAGGAAUGAUGCUUAUCAUUAGCACUUACAUUUGGUAGGAGUCCAACAUCACUAGCAAUGAGGGCAACAACUCAUAGGCCGCCUGCACAUAGACACAGUGCCCCCUUUGUCAUGUGCCUCAGAUCCAACCAUUCUCCAUUAGCCGGCCAUUAUUUUCUGCCAUACCCCGCCCUGGCAUUGAUGACCCGGCACCAAAAAGCUUAAACCCAGUAGGACGAUUUUGUCCAGGAAAUUCAUGAAUCAGUACUCCAUACUCCAUGAGACACCUCACAACUCAUUGGAUGAGAAAUCUGAAGAAACCCAGAGAUUAUACACCAAAUAUGUGGCACAACACUUAUGUUUAGAUUCAAUCUAAAAAAUUAAUAAUCUCAGCUUCGCCAAACAAAAUUACGCUAUAAAUUGUGCCUGAUGAUAGGCUUCGGAUGUUGUAAUUGAACCAAAAAGUUGAGAAGGUAAAGGCACAUCUAAUCCUCUAAGAUUAACUACUACAUUUGUAAUUUUCUUCACUUAUUGAUCCUGCAUGCUACGGAAGUGUUGAAGAAACAAUAUUUUAAGUUGUGUAGAAUGUCCACUGAACAAAAUAAUGUAAGCUCUAACCCCUACAAAAUCAGAAGGGAGACCAAUGGAAAUUGAAAUAAUAACUCUAUGAUCCACAUUCUCUAAAUAAUCCAUACAAAAAAUAUGUACGAGGAAAUGUACUAAUUAAAUUAUAAUUACACUUACAUACUUAGUGGUUCAUUGUAAAAAUAGACGCUUUAGAAAUCAAAGUUUAAAACCAGCAUGUUACCUUUGAAAUACAUUUUACAGAAGAACUAAAUAAAUCAACUUAUAACACGCAUAUAUACUGCCAAGAGGAGAAUGCAGAAAAUGAUGAGAAUACGAAGGGAUUAAUACAUGUCUCCUACUCCGCCACAUCUCACAUGAGAACCACCGCGCCGAGCAGUCCACGCUGCAACUGCAGUAGCGCCUCCAUCCACACCACAUCGGUUCAGGAAAUUCAUGAAUCAGUACUCCAUACUCCGUGAUACACCUCACAGCUCAUUGGAUGAGAAAUCUGAAGAAACCCAAAGAUUAUACACCAAAUAUGUGGCACAAGACUUAUGUUAGAUUCAAUCUAAAAAAUUAAUAAUCUGAGCUUCACCAAACAAAAUUACGCUAUAAAUUGUGCCUGAUGAUAGGCUUCGGAUGUUGUAACUAAACCAGAAAGUUGAGAAGGUAAAGGCACAUCUAAUCCUCUAAGAUUAACUACUACAUCUGUAAUUUUCUUCACUUAUUGAUCCUGCAUGCUACGGAAGUGUUGAAGAAACAAUAUUUUAAGUUGGGUAGAAUGUCCACUGGAGAAAAAAAUGUAAGCUCUAACCCCUACAAAAUCAGAAGGGAGAUCAAUGGAAAUUGAAAUAAUAACUCUACGAUCCACAUUCUCUAAAUAAUCCAUACAAAAAAUAUGUAUGAGGAAAUGUACUAAUUAAAUUAUAAUUACACUUACAUAUUUAGUGGUUCAUUGUAAAAAUAGACGCUUUAGAAAUCAAAGUUUAAAUCCAGCACGUUACCUUUGAAAUACAUUUUGCAGAUGAACUAAAUAAAUCAACUUAUAACACGCAUAUAUACUGCCAAGAGGAGAAUGUAGAAAAUGAUGAGAGAAUACAAAGGGAUUAAUACAUGUCUCCUACUCCGCCACAUCUCACAUGAGAACCACCGCGCCAAGCAGUCCACGCUGCAACUGCAAUAGCGCCUCCAU
rnacentral:lncRNA from 1 species